UGAGACCCCAGUGUUGUGUUUUGGUUUGUGUUUUGGUGGUGGGGAUUGAACCCAGGGCCUCACUCAUGCUAAGCAGCCCCAGCCUAGGCUAAAACUUCUGAAAAGCAGAGACUGAGUCUUGUGUAUGACACUACUCUUGCCCCUGUCUGGGAGCUCCCUGAGGCUGGGUUUGUGUCUUCUAUUUCUUUUGUCUUUAGAUCCAAAUGGAAAGGCCUCUCCCAGCGCCCCACCUUACAUCCUGUUAGAUCUGUGACUGUAGAAACCCUGCCUUUAAAGUAUUUUAAUUUUAUUUUAUUAUUUUUAAAUUUUGAGACAGGGUCUGGCUAAGUUGCUGAAGAUCUCACCAAGUUGUUGAAGCUGGCCUCAAACUUGAGAUUCUCCUGCUUCAGCCUCCUCAGCCCCUGGGAUUAUAGGAGUGUGCCAUAAUGCCCAGCAGGGACCCUGCCUUAUACAUUUAUGCCUCCUUCGUGUCUGGCACAUGACCUGCUAUAUAAAAAUAUAAGCUGAGUUGUAGCUCAGUGGCCCAGAAUGUGUGAGACCUUGGGUUUGAUCUCUAGUCCUGGCCCAGAAAUAAAAAAAAAAAGAGACAGAGAAAGAAAAGAAAAGCCAACAUCUAUUGAGUGCUUGCUGUGUGCCUGGCAUUACAUUACAUGUUUUUAUCUCCUUCUGUCCUUUUAACAGCUCUAAGAGAUAGGGACCAACAUUAGCCCCACUUUACAGAUUGAGAAACUGAGGAUCUUGGGCAGUUCAAACGCACACAACUAGCAGGUGGUAGAGUCAGGUAGGCCGUCAGACUCUGAAACCUACAGAACCCGUGAACUCUAACCCUCGACCUCUUGUAAACUGUAAAUGCACUGCAUUUCCUUUGAGUUCCGUGGUUCAGCUUCCCCAGGGAUAGCAGGGUCCAGCAGCCUGGGAGUCUGUGGCUUUGAAGAUUCUCCCUGGGGGGUUGGAUAAGGAGCAAAGCCACAGAGGGCUGUCUGGGUUCCCCGAGGGAAGGAUAGAGAUGUCAAGAGCACCCAGAGUUGGCCAUGAGGGGGACAGAGGUGGGUUAAGGGGCAGUGAGAGAUCUACAGUGAUGACCUGGAGUCUGGUCUCCCCCUUCCUUUCCCUUCCUCUGUCCCUGCUGGUCCCUGUCAGUUCUUGAAUGUGUCUCCACAUCAAGCCUCUUGUCCUUGCUCUGACUGUGCCUAGGCUUUCUUCCUGGUCCCCACACCAGUUUCUCCUCCCCGCCCCUUUCUCCACUGGCCACUGGUUAGCAUUCUAUAAAAGAUUUGGUUAUUUUAUUCCAGCACCCCCAAACCUUCCCUGGCUCCCUAGACCCAGGGGCUCCAGCCCAGAUCCCCAGCCUGUGCUCCAGCCCGGGGUGAUCUGUUUCCACCUGCCUUUUAGGCCUUGUCCCUCUCGUCUCCCGCUCCAGACUGCUCAGUGCCUGGGUCCUUUCUCUCUCUUUCAUUCAUUUCUUUUUUUCUUAAUAGAUACAACAUUUUUAUACCUUUAUUUUAUUUAUUCAUUUUUACGGAGUGCCAAGGAUUGAACCCAGUGCCUCGCACAUGCUAGGCCAGCGCUCUGCCCCUGAGCCACAACCCCAGCCCCAUUGAUGUCCUUUCUUAUCUGGACCUUUACAGACCCCAACUGUCCUCUCCAGAAACGCUCACCCCUCGUCAAAGGCCGACUCAUCCCUUUUUCAUUUUCUUUGGACAGAGUUAAGUCUCUCCGGUCACUCACUCCUUCUAGAAGGCACGUCUUUUACAGGCAGUUCAGCAGACUUCAGGUUAUUCCCUCAAUGUGACUGCGAGAUCCUCAAGGAGUAGACUGUGGAGUGAUGAUCGUGUCGCACCGAACGUGCUUGCAAGUUUGAGGCCAGAUUGGGCCACUUAGCCAGACCCUGUCUCAAAAUUAAAAAAUAAAUAAAUAAAUAAAAAGGGCUGGGGGUGUAGCUCCAUGGCAAAGCACCCCUGGGUUCAAUUCCCAGUAAGAAAAAUUAAAAAAGCAAAAACAAAAAUAAAUAAAUAGCGUCACUGUGCCUGAUAAUAAGGACAACCCUAUAUUACAGCACCAAAAAUGUGCAGCGCAGGAUUCUCAGUCUCUACCCUUCCAAGGAACUCUCUGGUCCUUUUUGGGCCCCAGCUGCUUGGGCAGGGGUAGUGAUACUAGGAAGAAUUUAAAGGCAUCCCCAAAUCUCAGAUUCAGCACGGGUAAGGUGUCUACCUGUGACAGAGGAAGAUAGAAGGCCAAGGGGAGCAGGAGAGCCAAGCACCUGCAGGCAGGGAGUGUGGGGAGGUUUGUGGGGAGAGGGAGGAUCCAGGCUGUGCCGCUGGGGGAGGGGAGAUGGCCGAGAGGGCUGGGAGAAGUUUGACCUUGUCAGGAAUGUCAAGGGCAUUAAGAAGCUUUGGGAGAACUGAGACUACAUCCCCAUGUUCUCUCUGAAUGCAGCACCGCAGGGAGAUGACCUUGGGGAGACCCAGAGCCACAGGCUGGGCUGUCCCUGGGGGAUGCCAUCCCUGGCCACCAGCUCUGGGAGCAUGCAGUUCUAGUCCCCAAGGCAACCAGCAAAGUGGGUGCUGUGAAGGCCUUUGUAAGGGCGAGAUGACUGAGCUUCAGAGAGUUCAGCAGCACUGAAGGGAGGGAGAGAAGAGCUGGAAAGGGAAGGGACGCAGCAGACCCUAAAGCUGACCUUUAACCCUUGACCUCUCCCCCUAGAGCUAUAUCUCAGGAUGGUGUCACUGUGGCCAUUGAGCUCUGUGUUGUGGGAGAUGGAGGAGGCUCAUGAGGCUCGACAAUAUCAGCUCCGCUCUGUCCUGGGGUCAGAGGUGGCCCAGGCCAAGGCCUCUAUAAGCCAUUAGAGCUCAGAUGACAGUUUGAUUUGUGGGCCCAGGAAAGGCCCCUGUUAAGCCCGAAGUGGGAGGAAAUGGGUGGUGCCUAGAGAUGGGCAGUAGGAUGGGCCAGGGCAAUUGGAUUUCUGAUCAUGACCAGAACAGUCUUUUUUUUUUGUACCAGGGGUUGAACCAAGGGGUGCUUAACCACCAAGUCACAUCCCCAGCCCGUUUUAUGUUUUAUUUUGAGACAGGGUCUUGCUGAGUUGCUUAGGGCCUCACUGAGUUGCUGAGGCUGGCCUCAAACUUGAGGUCUUCCUGCCUCAGCCUCCGUAGUGUCUGGGAUUACAGGUGUGUGCCACUGUGUCUUGCCCCAAGGACACUCUAUCAGUGAGUUUCAUCCUCAGAGCACAAGUGGCCCGUUGUGAAGAGGACAAUGUUACAAUGUAGAGCUUGGCACAACACAGGAGGAAUAGACUGGGCUUAGAAGUCAGGAAAUUUGGGUUCUCAACCCCGUCUGGUGGCAGGAGAGCCCCUUAACUUUGAGUUUUCCCAUUGACAAUUAGCAGAUGUGAUAGCCCAUUUGGCUCAUCUCGCAGGGAGCCGCCUGACUGAUUUGAGAGGACCCCAUUCAAAUGUGAGAUGGGGGUGAGGGUAACCUGGGUUCUCCGUUAGUGAGAUGAAGCCCGUGAGGAUCAAUCAGCCCAUCACAGGCCUCUCUCAGCACAAGCUGAUGUCAUUAUCCCCAUCAGGGCCUAUGUCAUUAGCAAAAUCCCCACAGGGACAUGAAGAAGCCAUGACGGGACUGGUCUCUGGGAAGGACAGACCAGAGAGGGGUCAUCCUGGCAGACUGGGUUGUCACCCUGUUUUUUCAGGACCCUUUGGGGAAAGAAUUCAGGACUUGGAGCCCAGCAGAGAACAGUAAUAGUAACAAAAACAAUAGCUCACAUUUACCCGGCGCUCUCCGGGCGUCAAUUUCUGCUGUGAGCAUUUUAUCUGCAUUAAUUUUCUGCCUCACAGCCUCAUGCGGAAGGCACUGCUUCUAUCCACACUUUACAGGUGCAGAAACCUGAGCAGCGACAUGACUUUCCUUUGGUCCCAGAGUCCCUCAGUGCUGGAGUCGACUCAGUCCUGCCUGGUCCAGGCCUUCUGCUGUGCGACGCCUCAGCAGCCCAUCCUGAAGGUGACCUCCUUUGCCCCACUGAGGCUGGACGGAGGUUCCCUGCUCCCUACGCGACAGAAAACCCAGAUGACAGUCCCACAAGGAGAGGCUGUUCCCUCCACAGUACAGAUGAGGAGCUGAGGCCCAGCUGGAGUCCUGAGGACAUGGGCUGGACCUGCCCUGGAGGAGCAGCUACCCUGGUUUGAGCCAAGGCUGGAUUAGGGUUUGGGAUUGGAGGCCAACAGCCUUGGUCUCUGCAUGGCACCUGGCUCCCAUCCACAGGACAAGGUCAUCGUGCCCACAGUGAGCGUGUGGACUCUGAGGCAGGAAGCAAAAUAGUUCCCUUCUUUUAACUGGGGGGUGGACUGGCAGUUGCAGCCGGGGCUAGACCCCUCCCAGCUCUGGCUAAGCCUCUUAUCCUUAUGAGGCCUCAGUUUGCUCAUCCAUAAAGUGGAGGAGCGCAUGAUCUAUCACCUUUUACAUGUGACAUAGUGUGUCUCCCCACCACAGACCCUGGCAGGCCACAUGGGAGACCUGGGAGGUGGACCCUCUGACCCUCAGACACAGCCCAAUCCUCGCUGUGGGUCCCCCCACUUCUGCUCACCCUGUUGGAACUGACUUCACCCUCAACGGCCUCAUCCAGUCCUGGGGGGAGGGUGAGAGGAAGGGGUGUGUGUGGCCGUACCCCUGGUUUUGCCCUCUCAGCGGGGAGUGAUCACAGAGGCUAGCCUGGAGGAGGAAGAGGAGGCUGUGUGAAGACGGCUGGGUUCAGGGUUUCUUGGUGGAUGGAAUGAGUGCCUUAAGUCUGGGAGGAGAGAAGCAGGAGGGAAGCAGCACUGUUGGGAGCUCGCCAUGUGCCCCAGGAGCAUGGUCACAGCCCCACUGUGACAUCUAAACCCCACGACAAUCAGGAUGAUCAAUCCCAUUGUACAGAGGAGGUAACUGAGGCUCAGGAAGAUUCAGGAACUUCUGUGCUCCGUACCAUGUGGCUGAGGAAUGCAGGACUAGGGCAGGGGGCCAGGCCUGGUGACGACAAAGCUAGGCUUUCCUGUGGACAGGUCUAGGCCUUGGGCCCCCCAUUGGAAAAUGGCCAUUGACCUCACUUCUGGCCCUCUCCAGAGGGUGUGGCUAGAUUAGGGGUGGGUGGCUGGGUGGAAGUGAGAGGUGCCCAGGACUGUCCCUGAAGCCAAAGGACUUAGUAAGUCUUUUGGGAAGAGUGCGGAUCCUUAGUGCCCAGGUGGCAGGAUGCAGGCAGGCCGUGGUGACAUCCUCCCCAGCAUGCUCAGGGACCUGUCAUGAGCUCAGGCACGCCUCACUCACAAUCUGCUUGGGAAAGGGUGAGGAUGGGCCUUUGAGGAAGCAGGGGGAUUGUCAGGUUGACCUCUGCAGGCACCUAACAAACCGUAUUUGGAUCAAUGGAUUAUCUCGGAUUCUGCGGGUGCCAGGUCAAGUUCAGAGCCUCCUGAUUCAAAAACUUCUAUUCCAACCCCCAGCACCUGUGAGCAGAGUGACUUUGGACAAGUCACUCAGCUUCCUGUGUCUCAGUCUCCUCAUCUGUAAAAUGGGGAUGAGGAGAAACCUGUCUCAUGGGUGGUGUGAACACUCAAUGAGAUCCAUGCUAUAGCAAUUAGCCAAGCGCCUGGCACAUGGACCCACCCAGGAGGUGUAGGUUACUGUCAUGGUCAUCCCAGAAGGUGGGAGGGAGCAGCCCUGUGCCCCAGGAGCAUGGUACUGAGGGAGGGUGACAGCACUCCCACUCUACAGGUAAGCACAAAGCUGGGUACGGUGGUGCACCCCUUCAUCCCAGCAGCUUGGGAGGCUGAGGCAGGAGGAUCACGAGUUCAAAGCUGGCUUCAGCAAUUUAGCAAGGUCUUAAGCAAUUGAGCAAGAUCCUGUCUCAAAAGAAAAAUAAAAAGGGCCACGGUAGCACAUGCCUGUAAUCCCCAAGACUUCGGACUGAUGUAGGAGGGCCCCAAAUUGAAAGCCAGCCUCAGCAACUUAGCGAGACCCUGUCUAAAAAAAAAAAAAAAA